UAAACCCUUCUUCUUCAACCUCAUCGCGCCCCUCCCUCCCUUGAAAAAACCCUAGUCGUCGAUGCCCAACGCCAUUUUUCGUCGAACCCAACGUCGACGAAUAUUCGGCGAUUCGAAGUCUCCUCAGCGUGCCAACCGGUCAGAGUAGCAUCCGUUCUUUUCCGCUGAGAGCCGAGAUACCAGAUCUGCAGGCAUCUUCGUCUGCUGCGUUCUCCGAAAGCCGCUCGCCCAACUUCUCCAGCUCGUCCAGUCGAUCUCCUCCGCACGUCGCUCGUCCGGUCGGUCUCUUCUAUCAUUCGCCUAGUGCCGACCGUACGCGAGCAUCGCUUCAAGCCGCGUCUGCCACCCCAGUCGCUUUAUUGUCGGUUGUCGUCACCCUGCCGCGUCAGGUCCGUCUUGGUAUUCAUCAAAUCUGUUGGCUUAAGUCAUCAAGGAGUUAGGAAGUCAAAGAAGGCGCCGUCAUUCUUUGAGGUCGCUACUUUGGAUUGUCGUUAUAGUUUGGUGGUCUACUUUUUAUCUGUGGAGUAUCGACUCGAGGUAAGAGUAGAGACGCACUGGCGAGUGACAAACGAAAUCUGUGAUCGAGCCACUGAGACCAGUUUUAUGCUUCCGCUCAGGAUAUUUAGAUUUCUUUAAUGUUUUUCCACUUUCAGUCUUCAUGUUUGAAACUUACUGAUUAGUAUUCGUUUCUAAACUUUUACAGUUUUUUAGACUCAUUAAAUUUCUAAUUAUGAUUUAUGGGUACCUUGUUAUUUGACUUUUAUUUAGUUUUAAUGAAAAUAUUUUAUUUGACUUUA